AGAGUUUGAUCAUGGCUCAGGAUGAACGCUGGCGGCGUGCCUAAUACAUGCAAGUCGAACGAGGUGCUUUUGUAGCAAUACGAGAGUAUCCUAGUGGCGAACGGGUGAGUAACGCGUUGGUGACCUACCCCAAAGUGUGGGAUAACAGUCCGAAAGGAUUGCUAAUACCGCAUGUGGUUAUUGGAUUUAGAAACCGGUAACUAAAGGAGCAAUUCGCUUUGGGAGGGACCUGCGUCCCAUCAGCUAGUUGGUGAGGUAAUGGCUCACCAAGGCGACGACGGGUAGGGGACCUGAGAGGGUGACCCCCCACAAUGGAACUGAAACACGGUCCAUACACCUACGGGUGGCAGCAGUAGGGAAUAUUGCUCAAUGGGCGAAAGCCUGAAGCAGCAACGCCGCGUGUGUGAUGAAGGCCUUCGGGUCGUAAAGCACUUUUCUGGGAGAUGAGAAAGGACAGUAUCCCAGGAAUAAGUCUCGGCUAACUACGUGCCAGCAGCCGCGGUAAUAC
rnacentral:rRNA from 1 species